GACGAACGCUGGCGGCGUGCUUAACACAUGCAAGUCGAACGGUGAAGCUCAAGCUUGCUUGGGUGGAUCAGUGGCGAACGGGUGAGUAACACGUGAGCAACCUGCCCUGGACUCUGGAAUAAGCGCUGGAAACGGCGUCUAAUACUGGAUAUGACAUCAAGCCGCAUGGUUAUGGUGUGGAAAGUUUUUCGGUCUGGGAUGGGCUCGCGGCCUAUCAGCUUGUUGGUGAGGUAAUGGCUCACCAAGGCGACGACGGGUAGCCGGCCUGAGAGGGCGACCGGCCACACUGGGACUGAGACACGGCCCAGACUCCUACGGGAGGCAGCAGUGGGGAAUAUUGCACAAUGGGCGAAAGCCUGAUGCAGCGACGCCGCGUGAGGGAUGACGGCCUUCGGGUUGUAAACCUCUUUCAGCAGGGAAGAAGCGAAAGUGACGGUACCUGCAGAAGAAGCACCGGCUAACUACGUGCCAGCCGCCGCCGUAACAC
rnacentral:rRNA from 1 species